AUUGUCAAGGCCUUCCAAGUAAUAUGUGCCCAGCUUCCAUUGGUACUAUAUCACAAACAAUUUGAUCUUCAUAUUUUCCAAUGGAGAUGGGUACACUCACUUGUUCUUUAACUACUAUUCCUUCAUCCUCUUUGAUCCAUUGAAGUUUAUAAGGUUUAGGAUGAGGAGUAGUAGUUAAGCCUAGCUUUUCUACCAUUCUUGAACUACAACAAUUGCAACAAGAACCACUAUCCACAAUCAUUGAACAUGUCUUUUCAAGGACUUUACAUCUUGUGUGGAAUAGGUUCUCUCAUUGUGAUUGUUCUAGUUCAACAUGUUUUCCUUCUAAGAGUCUUCUUACCAUGAGUAAAUCACCAUCACAAGGUAAAGCUUCUUCUUCCGAAGUGGAUGUUUCAGACUCACUAUAUGAAGAACCCUCACUUUCACUCUCAUGCUCAAGAAUGUAAGUUGACCUUCUAUUGCGACACUCGGUUGCAUAGUGCCCUUUUUCCC
rnacentral:lncRNA from 1 species